UUACUCUGGUUUCCCUUCAAUACACGUAUAAAUCUUUCGCCUUUUACUAAAGAUUUCCGUGGAGGGGAACAAUUGAUGAGUCUAUAACCAAAUUUUUUGAGUGCCCAGCUUUAUGCUGGGUC
rnacentral:snRNA from 1 species